UGCGAGUCGAGAGGGUUCGGCCCUCGGCUGACGGCUCAGUAACACGUGGAUAAUCUGCCCUUAGGUGGAGGAUAACCUCGGGAAACUGAGAAUAAUACUCCAUAGGUCUAGGACGCUGGAAUGCAUCUAGACUGAAAACUCCGGUGCCUAAGGAUGAGUCUGCGGACUAUCAGGUUGUAGUCAGGGUAAAGACCUGACUAGCCUACGACGGAUAUGGGUUGUGAGAGCAAUAACCCAGAGAUGAUAUCUGAGACACGAUAUCAGGCCCUACGGGGCGCAGCAGGCGCGAAAACUUCACACUGUGCGAAAGCACGAUGAGGGAAUCCCAAGUGCCAGCUCGUAAGAGUUGGCUGUUUUUCUGUUUAAAGUGCAGAGAGGGUAAGAGCUGGGUAAGACGGGUGCCAGCCGCCGCGGUAAUACCUGCAGCUCGAGUGGUGGCCGCUAUUAUUGGGCCUAAAACGUCCGUAGCCGGUUUAGUAAAUGCCUGGGUAAAUCGUGUAGCUUAACUAUACGAAUUCCGGGUAGACUGCUAAACUUGUGACCGGGAGAGGCUAGAGGUACUCCUGGGGGUAGAGGUGAAAUUCUGUAAUCCUGGGGGGACCACCAGUGGCGAAGGCGUCUAGCUAGAACGGAUCUGACGGUGAGGGACGAAGCCCUGGGGCGCAAACCGGAUUAGAUACCCGGGUAGUCCAGGGUGUAAACGCUGCUUGCUUGAUGUUAGUCGGGCUCCGAGCCCGAUUAGUGUC
rnacentral:rRNA from 1 species